rnacentral:rRNA from 1 species
ACCUGCCCACUGAUUUUUUAAAUGGCCGCAGUAAUUUGACUGUGCAAAGGUAGCAUAAUCAUUAGUUUUUUAAUUGAAAGCUAGAAUGAAUGGUUGGACGAAAUAAAAUCUGUCUUUAUUUAAAUUAUUUUAGAAUUUAAUUUUUAAGUUAAAAAGCUUAAAUUUUUAUAAAAGACGAGAAGACCCUAUAGAUCUUUAUAUUUUUUUAUAUAAUUUUAUUAAGGAUUAUUUUAUUUUUUAUAUGUAAAAUUAUUUUAUUGGGGUAAUGAAAAGAUUAAAUUAAUUCUUUUUUUUAUUAUAUAUAGAUUAAUAAGUAUAUGAUCCAAAUUUUUUGAUUAUAAGAAUAAGUUACCUUAGGGAUAACAGCGUAAUUUUUUUUGAGAGUUCAUAUCGAUAAAAAAGUUUGCGACCUCGAUGUUGGAUUAAAAAUUAUUUUAGGUGCAGAAGUCUAAAAAUUUGGUCUGUUCGACCAUUAAAUUUUU